GUGCCUUAAACUAAUGAGUAAGGAAAAUUACGAGCCCAGCUGACGCUUGGUUCAGCUUCGCGAUAUUAACCGGCCGGGUUCUGCCCGACCGGCUUAGUAAGCAUCAAUUUUUCCUCGAGGCACAGGUCGUCCCCUUGCAGCUGUCCUGCCUACUUUUGCAGGAUACUCGGGCGUGCUAGCGAUCUGCCUC